UAAGAAAACCCUUGGGCAUGCCUAAAGCCCAAGCUCCUUGCAGCCGAAGAAUGCGCCCUAUCCAAAACAGAACCAGGUCAAAACACUCAGCAACACAUUUUAUCGGGGUGUUCACGCUUUUCUCCUUCCCUCAUACGAACUCUUCUUCACUUUCACUUCCACAACUUAAAGAACUUCAACAACGUUUUCUCUUUUGUUCACCCUCAUCUCCAAUGUUCAAACGAAAACACCAUCAAAAUGGAAUCCGAAAACCAAAUAUUAAUCACCAUCACCGAAAUCUCCUUCAACUCAAAUUCAACAUCAUCUUCAAUGAAUCAGAAUCAUGGAAUCCGUGCGCGAGGUUGAACGACAUCAAGAGAUUCAAAUGAACAAGAGAAGAAGACUUACCAAGUUGAAUGCUCUAUCGCGGUGGUUCUCCGGCGAAAACAAGUUUUGCUUGGUAUGGACACUUCAGGAUUAUGUGAUAUCAAGGCUUGAAGAUCAAGAUGGUGAUUUAAGGAUAAGAGGUUGACUUUGGUCAUCUAAUUGACCAAAAGUUAACAUUUGACUUGGUCAACUAUAGGUUAGAAACUAGGGUUUUCUUCUUGUUUGAUGUAUAUGUAAGGACUUGUAUUUGAUGACUGGAUGAAAUGUAAUGUAAAAGAGGUUUUGAAUGAACGAUGACUUGAUUUUUUCUA